rnacentral:rRNA from 1 species
AGCGAACGCUGGCGGCAGGCUUAACACAUGCAAGUCGAGCGGGCACUUCGGUGUCAGCGGCAGACGGGUGAGUAACACGUGGGAACGUACCCUUCGGUUCGGAAUAACGCUGGGAAACUAGCGCUAAUACCGGAUACGCCCUUUUGGGGAAAGGUUUACUGCCGAAGGAUCGGCCCGCGUCUGAUUAGCUAGUUGGUGGGGUAAUGGCCUACCAAGGCGUCGAUCAGUAGCUGGUCUGAGAGGAUGAUCAGCCACACUGGGACUGAGACACGGCCCAGACUCCUACGGGAGGCAGCAGUGGGGAAUAUUGGACAAUGGGCGCAAGCCUGAUCCAGCCAUGCCGCGUGAGUGAUGAAGGCCUUAGGGUUGUAAAGCUCUUUUGUCCGGGACGAUAAUGACGGUACCGGAAGAAUAAGCCCCGGCUAACUUCGUG